CGGACGGGUGAGUAACACGUGGAUAACCUACCUAUGAGACUGGGAUAACUUCGGGAAACCGGAGCUAAUACCGGAUAAUAUAUUGAACCGCAUGGUUCAAUAGUGAAAGACGGUUUUGCUGUCACUUAUAGAUGGAUCCGCGCCGCAUUAGCUAGUUGGUAAGGUAACGGCUUACCAAGGCAACGAUGCGUAGCCGACCUGAGAGGGUGAUCGGCCACACUGGAACUGAGACACGGUCCAG
rnacentral:rRNA from 1 species